rnacentral:rRNA from 1 species
AUGAACGCUGGCGGCGUGCCUAUACAUGCAAGUCGAACGGGGUACAGCAAUGUACUUAGUGGCGACCGGGUGCGUAACACGUAGCUGACCUGCCCUUCGACGAGGGGACAACCAGCGCGAAAGUGCUGCUUAAUACCGCAUACAUUUAGAGUGGUUAGAGUGCUCUAAAGAAACUUCUGGGGUCGAAGGAGGGGGCUGCGGCCCAUCAGGUAGUUGGUGAGGUAACGGCUCACCAAGCCAACGACGGGUCGGGGGCCUGAGAGGGUGGCCCCCCACACUGGGACUGACAACGGCCCAGACUCCUACGGGAGGCAGCAGUAAGGGAUAUUGCGCAAUGGGCGAAAGCCUGACGCAGCAACGCCGCGUGAAGGAUGAAGGCCUUCGGUCGUAAACUUCUUUGGAGCGGGACGAGGAAGGACGGUACCGCUCGAACAAGUCACGGCUACUACGUGCCAGCAGCCGCGGUAAAACGUAGGGUGGCAAGCGUUAUCCGGAUUUACUGGGCGUAAAGCGUGUGCAGGCGGCGCUUCAAGUGGUGUAUGAAAUCGCUCGGCUCACCGGGCGCGGGUAUGCCAGACUGGGGUGCUAGAGACUGAGAGAGGGGUGGAUGGAAUUCCGGUUGUAGUGGUGAAAUGCGUAGAGAUCCGGAGGAACCCAGAGGCGAAGGCGGCCACCGGCUCAGUUCUGACGCUCAGACACGACAGGCAGUGGGAGGCGAAGCGGGAUUAGAAACCCCGGUAGUCCAUUGCCGUAAACGAUGUUCACUAGGCGCUGGCGGUCUCAACCCGUCGGUGCCGUAGAUAACUCGCUAAGUGAACCGCCUGGGGAGGUACGGCCGCAAGGCUCUAAAACUCAAAGGAAUUGACGGGGCCGCACGGGCGCACAAGCAGCGGAGCGUGUGGUUUAAUUCGAGGGCUACACGAAGAACCUUACCUGGGUUUGACAUGACGCUAGUAGCGAACCUGAAAGGAAGCGACCGCAAGGAGAGCGUCACUGGUGCUGCAUGGCUGUCGUCAGCUCGUGCCGUGAGGUGUUAGGUUAAGUCCUGUAACGAGCGCAACCCUUGUGUCCUGUUGCCACUCAAUCGAGAGAUUGGAGCACUCUGGAUAGACUGCCCUCGCUUAAACGAGGAGGAAGGUGGGGAUGACGUCAAGUCAGGAUGGCCCCUACGGCCAGGGCUGCACACGUACUACAAUGCCGGCACAAAGGCGAAGCAAGACCCGAAAGGUGGAGCAAAUCCAAAAACCGGCUCAGUUCAGAUUGUCGGCUGCAACUCGCGACAUGAACUGGAAUCGCUAGUAAUGGCGAUCAGCACGGCGCCGUGAAUACGUUCCCAGGGCCUUGUACACACCGCCCAGUCACAUCAUCGAAAUGCCGGUUGUACCCGAAGUCAUCGCGUUAACUCGCAAGGAGCAGGAAUGCCGCAAGGUAUAGGCUGGUGAUUGGGAUG